UUCCAGGCAGAGAGAACAGCUAGUGCAAAGGCUGAGCUGGGGAUGGUUUGAGAUGCAGGCAUCAGGUGUAACCAAGGAGCCCGGUGGCUGGUGUGACUGGAGUACAGCUGCAACUGGAUGAAAAUGGGGUAACUCUGCGGUUGCAAUAGCUGCCCUAACAGAGCUGAUGGCUUAGAAGUUAUCUGCUGGCAGUUGAACACUGUGCUUCACCCAGAACAAAGAAACUUUUUGCCUUGGACACAAUUCUGAUGCAUACUUCGAUUGAUUCAUUUAUGCAACCAUUUUCACCAUCGGUGCACUCUGCCAGAGAAACCAUAGACUCGAGUUGGAUUUUUCCUUCUCCAAAUGGUGCAGGCAGUCAAACUCUAUGUCCUCAGAUGCCUUAUUUUAUAUUUCUGCUCUCCAGUGGGUUAGGUUGAACGGAUCAUUUCUCCCCUGGCCAGAAAUACAGGGCUCCUACCCUCCCUAGCCCCUGCCUGGGUCUGGGCUGAAGACCCUGGCUGUGGGUGUGUUUCUAUCUCAUUUCAUCCAAAUAGAUGGUUGAGGCAGCUUCCUGGAGUUGAACUAUGUGCCCCACAUAUUUGUCUGGGUAGCACUGGAAAUAGAUUUGCAUUUCCAGAGUUAAGACAUCUUUCUUUCUCUCUUUUUUUAAAGUUUUUAUUUUGUAUUAGAAUAUAGCCAAUUAACAAUGUCAUGAUAGUUUCAGGUGGACUGCAAAGGGAC